GACGUAGGGCGCGAGCGUUGUCCGGAUUUAUUGGGCGUAAAGAGCUCGUAGGCGGCUCAUUGCGUCAACCGUGAAAACCUGCCGCUCAACGGUAGGCUUGCGGUUGAUACGGGUGGGCUGGAGUUCGGUAGGGGAGACUGGAAUUCCUGGUGUAGCGGUGAAAUGCGCAGAUAUCAGGAGGAACACCGGUGGCGAAGGCGGGUCUCUGGGCCGAUACUGACGCUGAGGAGCGAAGGCGUGGGGAGCGAACAGG
rnacentral:rRNA from 1 species